rnacentral:lncRNA from 1 species
GGACAUUGUAUUAUUACAUAGAAUCAUAAACUAAACCUGCGGGUUUGCGGCAACACCCGCAUAAACUAAACCUGCGGGUUUGCUUAGAAUCUAAAAGGACAAAGCACAAAAAAUUAAAACAACUUGUGAAAUCUCCCAGUGUCGUCUCAAAUGUCUCCAUAAAAAACAUGGUCGGCCAACUUUGCUCCAUCACCAUCAGCCACGAGACACCCCAGCUUCAUCAAUCAUCAUGUCACGCGAACCACAGCUCCUCCACCAUUGUGCCGUCUGAUCUCAUCAGUGCACAACACUGUUUCAUUGCCGCCGUGUCUCUUCUUCAUUGUCCGGAUCAUUAAGCUGUAGGUUUGAUUCUCAGUUUGUACUUGAUUACUGAAUUUGGGUUUGACUUUUAAAUUAAGGAUUGAUUGAAUUGGUUGGUGGAUGAGGGUUUUUUUUUAUCAAUAAUUUUUGUUGAAUCAGUGUUGUUUCUUUUGUUGGAAACUAUUAAUAAUUUUCUGUUUCUUUUGUUGGAAACUAUUAUGAAAGGAA